rnacentral:rRNA from 1 species
AAAGCGUGCGCAGGCGGUUUUGUAAGACUGUCGUGAAAUCCCCGGGCUCAACCUGGGAAUGGCGAUGGUGACUGCAAGGCUAGAGUUUGGCAGAGGGGGGUAGAAUUCCACGUGUAGCAGUGAAAUGCGUAGAUAUGUGGAGGAACACCGAUGGCGAAGGCACGCCCCCUGGGUCAAAACUGACGCUCAUGCACGAAAGCGUGGGGAGCAAACAGGAUUAGAUCCCGAGU